rnacentral:rRNA from 1 species
AGUGAACGCUGGCGGUAGGCUUAACACAUGCAAGUCGAACGGCAACACAGUACGAGCUUGCUAUUACGGGUGGAGGGUGGAGUACGGGUGCGGAAUACAUCGGAAUCUACUUUAUAGUUGGGGGUAACGUAGGGAAACUUACGCUAAUACCGCAUACGACAUACGGGUGAAAGCAGGGGAUCUUCGGACCUUGCGCGAUUGAAUGAGCCGAUGUCGGAUUAGCUAGUUGGCGGGGUAAAGGCCCACCAAGGCGACGAUCCGUAGCUGGUCUGAGAGGAUGAUCAGCCACACUGGAACUGAGACACGGUCCAGACUCCUACGGGAGGCAGCAGUGGGGAAUAUUGGACAAUGGGCGCAAGCCUGAUCCAGCCAUACCGCGUGGGGGAAGAAGGCCUUCGGGUUGUAAAGUCCUUUUGUUGGGAAAGAAAAGCAGCAGGUUAAUACCCCGCGGUUCUGACGGUACCGAAAGAAUAAGCACCGGCUAACUUCGUG